rnacentral:rRNA from 1 species
AUGGACGGUGACGGCCGACACGACGACGGCGACUGGGUGCUGCCCUGCGCUGCCCUCGCCGACGUUACUCUGGCCCUCGUCGGAAAUAUCGGUUCCGGGAAGAGCGCCACCGCGAACAGCAUCCUUGGAAAGGAAACAUUUCCCUCUGAGUUGUCCUACAGCGGGGUUACUUUGACUUGCCAGAAGAGAAGCAGGACGCUUCACGAUGGCUGUGCGACCCGCACCCUCAAUGUCAUCGACACUCCGGGCUUAUUUGAGGUGGACACUACACCUGAAAACGUUCACACAGAGAUUGCCAGGUGUUUGGACAUGACAAAAGAUGGAAUACAUGUGAUACUGAUGGUUUUUUCAGCUACAUGUCGGUUUUCUCGUGAAGAUGAGAAAACAGUAGAGUCGAUUAAACUGCUUCUUGGGGACAAAGUCCUUGACCAUAUGAUUUUAGUUUUCACGCAUGGAGAUAUAGACAUGCUAAACCUAUGUAAAAACAGGGUUGUUCUGUUUAACAAUAAGACAAGCAAUAAGAAGCGCCAUUUGGCACAACUGAAAAAAUUGCUUGAUGCAGUGGACUCUGUUAUAUCCAGCAAUGAUGGAUACCCAUUUUACAGCGAGAGCAGUCGAAUUCAGCAAGCGCAGAACAGGGAAGAAAUAAGUGUUGACGAAUGCUCAGCAGAACAGAUGUCCAAAAUGAAGAAAGAGAUACAUGAUGAAUGCCUUGCACGGCUUGGAAAGAUGGUGGAGGAAAAUUCAAAUAGUACAAUUACUAGGCUUGAAAAACUACUGUUGGAAGAGCAGAAAGCCAGGCUGGAGUCGGAGAAUGAGGUGGCAGAAGCAUUGUUACGAUCAGAAAAGGAGAUCCAGAAGCUCAGUGAGAUGCUAAAGAAGGCUAAGCAGGAGACUGAGAACGCUCAAAAAGAAAUGGAAAAACUCAAAAAGAGAGUGAAAACUCUUGAAAAGAAAAACUAA